rnacentral:rRNA from 1 species
AUUGAACGCUGGCGGCAUGCUUUACACAUGCAAGUCGAACGGCAGCGCGGGCUUCGGCCUGGCGGCGAGUGGCGAACGGGUGAGUAAUGCAUCGGAACGUGCCCAGUAGUGGGGGAUAGCCCGGCGAAAGCCGGAUUAAUACCGCAUACGACCUGAGGGUGAAAGCGGGGGACCGAAAGGCCUCGCGCUAUUGGAGCGGCCGAUGUCGGAUUAGCUAGUUGGUGGGGUAAAGGCUUACCAAGGCGACGAUCCGUAGCUGGUCUGAGAAGACGACCAGCCACACUGGGACUGAGACACGGCCCAGACUCCUACGGGAGGCAGCAGUGGGGAAUUUUGGACAAUGGGGGCAACCCUGAUCCAGCCAUGCCGCGUGCGGGAAGAAGGCCUUCGGGUUGUAAACCGCUUUUGUUCGGGAAGAAAUCUUCUGGGCUAAUACCCCGGGGGGAUGACGGUACCGGAAGAAUAAGCACCGGCUAACUACGUG